AAAAGAAAGUCAUGACUGAUGUGUAAAGACGAAUGAAGAAGAAGUGUUAUUUAUAUACAACCAUUUGACUAUUAUAUUUAAAUAACUAGCCUUUCAACUUUCCUAGACAUGAUUUAAUAUCCAUUUCAUCUUUUGGGAGUUUUUUUUUUUGUACUAAAAGCAAGCAAAUCGGCUCGUCAUUGACUAGAUAAUUUUUCACUUUGUUAUAAUGAUUACGUUUAAUAUAUGUUAUUUACAGUGUCAUUACGCAGGUUUGGCAAUAGUUAUCUGGAAGAGGAGGAGGAGGAAGAGAACUAUGAGCAGAGCACAUCUAGUCAGUCUGCCUCAGCCAGGGGGAGCCACGUUGAGUGGCAGCUGUAUGAAGGAGAGAGAUGGCUUAGUAUUGGCAAUGACCAUGUGAUCGAGACCCACUACUGCCAGCCUGGGGCCAAAGGAAUGAACAUCUACCAUCACACAUGGGGCCAGUGUACAUAUGUUUAGUGCCAAUUUAUUUUAUACAGGCUGCAUCCCAAUAGUCUUGAAUAGUGUUCAUUCCUUGUCCCCUUUCCUUGAUAGAUAAUAUUGGUUCAAGGAGGUGAACAGGAGAGGAAGCAUUUUUAGAGAAUUAAGACUCAAACCUCGAAUCUGAUUAUGUAUUUGUUAUAUGUUAAACAAUAGUUCAGUAACCUAAGUUCUGACAUUUGUGUUUGAACAAA